rnacentral:rRNA from 1 species
UACGGGGGGGCAAGCGUUGUUCGGAAUUACUGGCGUAAAGGGCUCGAUAGGCGGCCAACUAAGUCAGACGUGAAAUCCCUCGGCUUAACCGGGGAACUGCGUCUGAUACUGGAUGGCUUGAGUUUGGGAGAGGGAUGCGGAAUUCCGAGGUGUAGGCGGUGAAAUGCGUAGAUAUCUGGAAGGAACACCGGUGGCGAAGGCGGCAUCCUGGGACCAACACUGACGCUGAGGAACCGAAAGCUAGGGGAGCAAACAGG